rnacentral:tRNA from 3 species
AAGAGAAUGUUGUAUCUAAAAGAAGCUUCUAACUUCUUAUUAAAGCGGUUAGAUUCCGUUUUUCUCUUA